CAGUCGCCACGGUAAUACAGAGGGUGCGAGCGUUAAUCGGAUUUACUGGGCGUAAAGCGUGCGUAGGCGGCUUUUUAAGUCGGAUGUGAAAUCCCUGAGCUUAACUUAGGAAUUGCAUUCGAUACUGGGAAGCUAGAGUAUGGGAGAGGAUGGUAGAAUUCCAGGUGUAGCGGUCAAAUGCGUAGAGAUCUGGAGGAAUACCGAUGGCGAAGGCAGCCAUCUGGCCUAAUACUGACGCUGAGGUACGAAAGCAUGGGGAGCAAACAGGAUUAGAUACCCCAGUAGUCCCUGUCUCUUAUAC
rnacentral:rRNA from 1 species